rnacentral:lncRNA from 1 species
GGCAGAGCUUGGAUGUGAACCAUGCUGUUUACCUGGUUGCUGGGAACAGCUAUCACGUGAGGGCAUGUGUGUGUGUGUUCUACCUGUCCUCCCUUGAUACUCCUGAGGUAGCUGGUCCUGUGCCCAACUUUGAUUCAUUUCUAGUGAAAAACAACCUGACCUGAAGAUAAGAAUUCACUCCAGCAAGAUCAUCAGCUAUGAUAACUGGACCUCUCAGAGUUCAUGUUAACUGGUGACUUAUUGCACUCAAGAGUCCUUAUGUGUGAGAAACAGGAGUCUAGCAUGGCUGUCCUCUGAGAGGCUCCACCCAGCAGCUGACUCAGAGAGAUGCAGACACCCACAGCCAAACAGUGGAUGGAGCUUGGGGACUCUUAUGGAAGAAUAGGAGGAAGGUUUGCAUCCCCUAAGGGGAUAGAACUCUACAGGAAGACCAACAGAGUCACCUAUCCUGGACCCUUGGGGCUCUCAGAGACAGAACCACCAACUACAGAACAUACAUGGACUGGACCUAGGCCUUCCUGCACAUAUGUAGCAGAUGUGCAGCUCGGUCUUCAUCCCAAACAACUGGAGUGUGGGUUAUCCCAAAAGCUUUUGCCUGUAUGUGAGAUAUGUUCUAUAAUCUGGGCUGUCUUCUAUGGCCUCAGUGGGAGAGGAUGCAUCUAGCUUCACAGAGACUUGAUAUGCUCUGUUGGGGUUGGGGGCUCAGAAGGGGAGGGGAGAUUUGUGGAAAGGGGACUGGGAGGGGGACAGUGAGUAGGAUGUAAACUGAAUAGGUAAAAUAAUAAUAAUAAUGAUAAUUAAAAAAAA